GUCCCAGUAGCUCAGUUGGAUAGAGCAGUCGCCUUCUAAGCGACGUGUCGGGAGUUCGAAUCUCUCCUGGGACGCCA
rnacentral:tRNA from 1 species